AAGUCGUAACAAGGUUUCCGUAGGUGAACCUGCGGAAGGAUCAUUAUCGAGUUUUGAAAGGAGUUGUAGCUGGCCUCUCGGGGCAUGUGCACGCUCCGCUCAUUUCCAACUCUAACACCUGUGAACUAGCUGUAGGUCGGUUAGGAGUGGGCCUUUGCGGGUCCCUUCGCGCCUUCCUAUGUCUUUAACAAACUCUUGUCGUAUCAGAAUGUAUUCGCGCUUUAUAAACGCAUCAAUAUAA
rnacentral:misc_RNA from 1 species